rnacentral:rRNA from 1 species
GACGAACGCUGGCGGUGUGCUUCACACAUGCAAGUCGAGCGGGUUUUAGUGGUAGCUUGCUAUCACUAAAAUUAGCGGCGGACGGGUGAGUAAUACAUAGGAAUCUGCCUCAAGGCGGGGGACAACGGGUCGAAAGAUCCGCUAAUACCCCAUAUGCGAGAAAUCGUGAAAGGAGUAAUCCGCCUAGAGAUGAGCCUGUGUCCGAUUAGCUAGUUGGCGGGGUAAUAGCCCACCAAGGCAACGAUCGGUAGUUGGUCUGAGAGGAUGAUCAGCCACAAUGGGACUGAGACACGGCCCAUACUCCUACGGGAGGCAGCAGUGGGGGAAUUUUACGCAAUGGGGGGAAACCCUGACGUAGCGACACCGCGUGAGCGAAGAAGCCUUUUGGGGUGUAAAGCUCUGUCAGCUGGAACGAAAACAAUGACGGUACCAGCAGAGGAAGCAUCGGCUAAACUACGUGCCAGCAGCCGCGGUAAU